GAUGAACGCUGGCGGCGUGCCUAACACAUGCAAGUCGAACGGAAAGGCCCUGCGUUUGUGGGGUUCUCGAUUGCCGAACGGGUGUGUAACACGUGUGUAACCUGCCCUUGUCUUUGGGGUAACUUCAGGAAACUCGGGCUAAUAUCGGAUAGGAGCUCCUGCACCGUGGGGGGGGUUGGAAAGUUUCGGCGGUUGGGGAUGGAUUGGCGGGUUAUCAGCUUGUUGGUGGGGUAGUGGCUUACCCAGUCUUUGACGGGUAGGCGGCCUGAGAGGGUGGACGGCGACCUUGCGCCUACGGUACGGAGCAGAAGGCUACCGGAGGCAGUAGGGGGAAAUCUUGCGCAGCGACGCCGCGUGAGUGACGGAGGCGCUCGGUGCGGAAAGCCCGCUUUUUGGUGAAGAACAGCUGUCGAAUGAGACGAAGAGUGAGUGACGGUAACUAAUAAAGAAGCACCGGCUAACUACGUG
rnacentral:rRNA from 1 species